rnacentral:lncRNA from 1 species
AAAAGAAACUUGACAGUGUUACAAAAUUACCUCCUGUGAAAUAGCAAGACUAUUUCUUAUGGAAUAAACAAGAAAGAAUCUUGUUCUACCGAAUUCUUGACUCACCAACACAAUUUUUUUUUUUUUUUUGGAGACAGAGUUUCACUCUUGUUGCCCAGGCUGGAGUGCAGUGGCAUGAUCUGGACUCACUGCAACCUCCACCUCCCAGGUUUAAGCAGUUCUCCUGCCUGAGCCUCUCGGAUUACAGAUGUCAGUACUUUGUGUGCUCUUGAAAUAGGAAAUGUACAGAUCCCUAUUGCCAGACACAUCAUUCUCUCCAUCCAGAAAGCCAACUUUGCAAGGACAAAAAAAAAAAUUAGUGUGAAACAAAAUGUGGCUUUUCCAAAGACAGAUGUGAUUAUUUAUAGUCAAUGUGGCCUCAAAAUGUCAUUGAUUGUGAAAUAGCAAACAUGCAGGAUCAUAAUAUUUGGACGGAAUCUUGCACUGUCUCCCAGGCUGGAGUGCAGUGGCACGAUCUCUGCUCACUGCAACCUCCGCCUCCAGGCUUCCAGUGAUUCUCCUGCUUCAGCCUCCCGAGUAGCUGGGACUACAGGCGCACCUCACCACACCCAGCUAAUUUUUAGUAUUUUUAGUAGAGACGAGGUUUCACUAUGUUGGCCAGGAUGGUCUCGAUCUCCUGACCUCGUGAUCUGCCCACCUCGGCCUCCCAAAGUGCUGGGAUAAUAUGCAUGAGCCACAGUG